rnacentral:rRNA from 1 species
AUGUGGUCUCCUCCAGCUCAAGGAUGGGCAAAAUUAAACAUUGACAGAUCGUCCUGCGUCACAUCGGGAACUGCGGGGGUGGGCAUGAUUCUACGUGACUCCACCGGGUAUCAACCUCACCCUGCAAUUGACGAGGAUGCCGAUAGAAGUAGAGAAGGACUGCAUGUUGCUCUUAACAUGAUUAAUGGCCCGGACAGGGACCGGUCUCGCUAUACCAUGUUGGUUGAUCAAAUUCAAAUGCUUUUGAGGGAAGGAAGGAUGUUCAAGCUAUCUCAUGUUCAAAGGGAACAGAAUGGUGCAAGCCAUUAUCUGGCCUCCUUUGGACGGACAGAAAAUCGCACUGUGGUGUGGUUGGGUUCGGAACCAGAAGGCGUCUCUGAUAUUUGUAAGAAUGGUUUAUGCCUUGAUUGA